CACUUUUCUGGCUGAGACCCCAUGCUCAUUCCUCACCCACCCUAGUCCUUGCUGUCUCCUUACUUCAGGGAAACAAACCCAGGACUGAGCACAUGGAGGGGGAGGUAGAGUUGCCUGGAUGGUUGGCCCACUGGCUCCCAUCCAGCUGCAGCUCCCAUGCAGCAUCAUAUAAGGGUCGCCUUGCCCCUAUGCCUCCUCAGCCCUGAAGAAGAGCCUGAGACAGCAGGAAUUCAAGAACAGUCCUGGGAAGGUACCACAGAGGCAGAGGAGCAGUAGACAAAGCAGGAAGUCACAGACACCAAGAGAGCUCUGGAACCCUGGCCCCUUCCUCCUCACCACAAAGCAGGCAGGACGCAAAAUAAGCGAAAAGAGCAUUUUCCCUCCGUGACAACAACUACAAAAAUUCUGUAAAACAUUUUAAAGGAGAAGCUCUGAGCAGCAAUUUCUUAACCCACAAGUAAACAAGAGUCAGGGCUUCCCUGGUGGCGCAGUGGUUAAGAAUCCACCUGCCAAUGCAGGGGACACGGGUUCGAGCCCUUGUCUGGGAAGAUCCCACAUGCCGCGGAGCAAGUAAGCCCGUGCGCCACAACUACUGAGCCUGCGCUCUAGAGCGCAUGAGCCACAAGUACUGAGCCCGUAUGCCACAACUACUGAAGCCUGCACACCUACAGCCCGUGCUCCACAACAAGAGAAGCCACCGCAAUGAAAAGCCCGCGCAUUGCAAUGAAGAGUAGCCCCCGCUCGCCACAACUGUAGAAAGCCCGCGUGCAGCAACGAAGACCCAA